AUUGCUUCUCGGCCUUUUGGCUAAGAUCAAGUAUAGUAUUUGUCCUUAUUAGUUUAAUAUCUGACACAUCCUCCAUCAUAGGACAAUAUACUAAAUGGAUUUUUGGAGCAGGGAGAUGGAAUAGGAGCUUGCUCUGUACACUCCAUGCAUCAACCUGGUGUCAUGUACUUCUAGGAAAGGUGCACACCCU